rnacentral:rRNA from 1 species
GACGAACGCUGGCGGCGUGCUUAACACAUGCAAGUCGAACGGAAAGGCCUGCUUUCCCUUGUGGAUUGCGGGUACUCGAGUGGCGAACGGGUGAGUAACACGUGAGUGAUCUGCCCCCAACUUGGGUAUAAGCCUGGGAAACUGGGUCUAAUUCCCGAUAGGACUGCAGGGUGGUGCCUGUGGUGGAAAACGAUUUUCUAGUGGUUGGGGAUGAGCUCGCGGCCUAUCAGCUUGUUGGUGGGGUAAUGGCCUACCAAGGCGGCGACGGGUAGCCGGCCUGAGAGGGUGGACGGCCACAUUGGGACUGAGAUACGGCCCAGACUCCUACGGGAGGCAGCAGCGGGGAAUAUUGCACAAUGGGCGGAAGCCUGAUGCAGCGACGCCGCGUGGGGGAUGACGGCCUUCGGGUUGUAAACUCCUUUCGACCGCGAGGAAGCCACCUGGUUGGAAGGGUGGUGACGGUAGUGGUAGAAGAAGCACCGGCUAACUACGUG